UACGAAGGGGGCUAGCGUUGUUCGGAAUCACUGGGCGUAAAGGGCGCGUAGGCGGUCAGCACAAGUCAGUUGUGAAAUCUCCGGGCUUAACUCGGAAAGGUCAACUGAUACUGUGCGACUAGAGUGCAGAAGGGGCAACUGGAAUUCUCGGUGUAGCGGUGAAAUGCGUAGAUAUCGAGAGGAACACCUGCGGCGAAGGCGGGUUGCUGGGCUGACACUGACGCUGAUGCGCGAAAGCCAGGGGAGCGAACGGG
rnacentral:rRNA from 1 species